rnacentral:lncRNA from 1 species
CAAGGAAAUAAUAAAUCUUGAUGACAGAACUCAAGUUGCAUAUGGAUCCAAGAAUGAGAUUAUCCGAUUUGAGGAAACUCUGUAUGGGAAAUCAAGGCUCAAGGCCGAGGGUGUUCCUGUUGGAGCUGCUGCUUAAGAGAAAGUGCUAGCUUCUCAUGCCUUAAUUUAUUUGUUUUGACCAAAAUUUAAGCUAUCAUGUAUACGGAUUUGUGCAGUAGUGCGUGGAACAUUCAAAUAAUGGAGACUUCUACAAUUAAAAGAUUAGAUUUGUGUGAUCAUGAAAAUUUAGCAGGAAUGAUGACUUCUCUUUCCUUGGCAUGUUUUCUUCUCUGAUACGUGUGAUUGAAAGUUGAAAAUAUAUAACCACUCUUUAAGGGAAGUAUAUAUAAUUUUUUUUCCCUUUUAAAGGCAGGUGAUCAUAAUUUUGUACCGGGUUAUAUUGAAGUUUCUGCUGCUGUUAAGGG